rnacentral:rRNA from 1 species
AACGUCUCAGUUCGGACUGUGGUCUGNAACCCGACCACACGAAGCUGGAAUCGCUGGUAAUCGCGAAUCAGAAUGUCGCGGUGAAUACGUUCCCGGGUCUUGUACACACCGCCCGUCACACCAUGGGAGUCAGCAACGCCCGAAGUCAGUGACCUAACCGAAAGGGAGGAGCUGCCGAAGGCGGGGCCGGUAACUGGGGUGAAGUCGUAACAAGGUAAC